rnacentral:rRNA from 1 species
UGAGGAAUAUUGGUCAAUGGGCGGAAGCCUGAACCAGCCAAGUAGCGUGCAGGAUGACGGCCCUAUGGGUUGUAAACUGCUUUUAUACAGGAAUAAAGUUAGCCACGUGUGGUUAUUUGUAGGUACUGUAUGAAUAAGGACCGGCUAAUUCCGUGCCAGCAGCCGCGGUAAUACGGAAGGUCCAGGCGUUAUCCGGAUUUAUUGGGUUUAAAGGGAGCGUAGGCCGUCUGUUAAGCGUGUUGGGAAAGGUAGAUGCUCAACAUCUGAAUUGCAGCGCGAACUGGCAGACUUGAGUGUGCGCAACGUAGGCGGAAUUCGUUGUGUAGCGGUGAAAUGCUUAGAUAUCACGAAGAACUCCGAUUGCGAAGGCAGCUUACGGGAGCACAACUGACGCUGAAGCUCGAAAGUGCGGGUAUCGAACA